CCUACGGGAGGCAGCAGUGAGGAAUAUUGGUCAAUGGGCGGGAGCCUGAACCAGCCAAGUCGCGUGAGGGAAGACGGUCCUAUGGAUUGUAAACCUCUUUAGGCGGGGAGCAAGGCCGGGCACGCGUGCGCGGAGGGAGAGGACCCGCAGAAGAAGGAUCGGCGAACUCCGUGCCAGCAGCCGCGGUAAUACGGAGGAUGCGCGCGUGAGCCGGAUUGCUGGGGUUUCAAGGGUGCGGAGGCGGAUUUUAAAGUCAGCGGUAAAAGGUCCGGGCUCAACCCGGGCCGGCCGUUGAAACUGGGGAUCUUGCGUGGGCGAGAAGUCUGCGGAAUGCGUGGUGUAGCGG
rnacentral:rRNA from 1 species